CAGUCGCCACGGGAAUACGUAGGGUGCGAGCGUUAAUCGGAAUUACUGGGCGUAAAGCGUGCGCAGGCGGUUAUAUAAGACAGAUGUGAAAUCCCCGGGCUCAACCUGGGACCUGCAUUUGUGACUGUAUAGCUAGAGUACGGUAGAGGGGGAUGGAAUUCCGCGUGUAGCAGUGAAAUGCGUAGAUAUGCGGAGGAACACCGAUGGCGAAGGCAAUCCCCUGGACCUGUACUGACGCUCAUGCACGAAAGCGUGGGGAGCAAACAGGAUUAGAUACCCGCGUAGUCCCUGUCUCUUAUAC
rnacentral:rRNA from 1 species